AUUUAGAUAGUUUAUUUAAAAUAUUAAUUUGUGGGAUUAAAGAUGUAAUUUUACUCUAGAUA
rnacentral:tRNA from 1 species